rnacentral:rRNA from 1 species
CCCCUAGAUGUUCUGGGCCGCACGCGCGCUACACUGAACAGUUCAACAAGUCUUAACCUUGGCCGAAAGGUCUGGGUAAUCUCCAAAUUUCGUCGUGAUGGGGAUAGAUUAUUGCAAUUAUUAAUCUUCAACGAGGAAUGCCUAGUAAGCGCAAGUCAUCAGCUUGCGUUGAUUACGUCCCUGCCCUUUGUACACACCGCCCGUCGCUCCUACCGAUUGAAUGGUCCGGUGAAGCGUUCGGACCGUGGCCUUUGGACGGUUCGCCGUCUGUUGGCUGCGGGAAGUUCGUUAAACCUUAUCAUUUAGAGGAAGGAGAAGUCGUANCA